GCUCCUAUAGUUCAGCGGUAGAAUAACUGUAUCGUAAACAGUAGGUCAUCGGUUCAAAUCCGAUUGGGAGCU
rnacentral:tRNA from 1 species